AACGAACGCUGGCGGCAUGCCUAACACAUGCAAGUCGAACGAGAACUUCGGGCCUAGGUGCGGACGGGUGCGUAACGCGUGGGAACUUGCACUUAGGUUCGGAAUAACUCCCUGAAAGAUGACUUAAUACCGGAUGAGCUCUUAGGGGCAAAGAUUUAUCGCCGCAGGAUGGGCCCGCGUUGGAUUGGGUAGUUGGUGGGGUAAUAGCCUACCAAGGCGACGAUCCAUAGCUGGUGUGUGAGGAUGACCAGCCACACUGGGACUGAGACACGGCCCAGACUCCUACGGGAGGCAGCAGUGGGGAAUAUUAGACAAUGGGGGAAAGCCUGAUCCAGCCAUGCCGGGUGAGAGAUGAAGGCCUUAGGGUUGUAAAGCUCUUUUAGCCGGGAAGAUAAUGACGGUACCGGGAGAAGAAGCACCGGCUAACUCCGUG
rnacentral:rRNA from 1 species